rnacentral:rRNA from 1 species
GAAAGAUGAAAAGAACUUUGAAAAGAGAGUUAAACAGUACGUGAAAUUGUUGAAAGGGAAACGAUUGAAGUCAGUCGUACCAGCGGGAAAUCAACCUUUCGAGUGGGUUUUUGGAGUUUUGAAGUGUGUCAAAACCUUCGAGAUUUCAAAAUUUUCGCUCUUUUGGUGUACUUUCUCGUAGGUAGGUUAACAUCGAUUUUGAUCAUCAUAAAAGGGUUGGAGGAAUGUAGCUUCGAUCUCGUAUUGAAGUGUUAUA